CGUGUUUCGUAGCCAAAGUUCGCGAGACCGACGUGUAUUGUCGAUGCGAACCAGAACAAAACUACAGAAUUACAUAACGGUUACUUCUUUGUCGAACUCACGAUCAUCUAUCUACCCAUGUGCAUAAUAUAUAAACAAAUAUUAUAAACGACCAGGACCAGUAUCACGUCAUGUUAUAAUUAAACACGGUAUAACACAUUAACAGAGGAAAAUAAUUAAAAGGAUAUGAUUAUCAUAAUACCUAUGCAUAUAACUAUAUAAAUAUAUUUGUUUGGUCUAGUAAUCUGACUAACCUUAUAACUUAUUAGUCAUAGCUAUCCAAAGCUAGGCACCAGCUAAUUAGAAAGUUAAGGUUAAUAUAAGUUAUUAUUGUAAUUUUUUUUUUUUUUAUUAAAUCAAAAAAUGUCCUGUAAUCUUGACAUUUUAUUUGUUAUCAAUUAAUUUUCUUUAAAUCAUCUGUUAUAUUAUACAUGCACGCGCGGUAACCACGGCUUUAGCCUGCAGAUAUAAUUUAUAUCUUGUAUUAUUACUUACUUAUUUAGACCAUUUGAUCAAAUUGCCAGUUGUUUAAUAAUUUUAUUUUUCAAUCAUUAUAAAUACCUACUUAAAAUUUACAUAUUAAUCAAGUUUUUAUAUUUAUAUUUUAAACUAUAAAAAAAAAAAAUUACUUCUAACUUCUACUUUAACUUAGCUACUAUUUUAAACAAACUAUAACUUCUAAUUAACUAAAAUAAAAAAUUUGUAAACUUUCAAAAACUUAUUUCUAUUCUAACUUACUUAGUUUUAAUAUAAAAGUAAUUUAAUCUGAAAUAGAUGAAAAAAAUGGCUAACUCGCCCAGAUUUAUAGCUAUAAUCGCUAUAACAAUUAUGGAUACAGUUAAUCUUGCAAUUUUUAAAGCACAAAAUAUGCACUUAUAAUAAAUUCAAACAGAAUCUACCAUAUUAAUAAAAUAAAGUUAAAGAAAUGCAAUACACAUACCUACGCUUCGAAAACCAUUAAAGGAAAUAAUUGUCAAAAGAAAAGAAUAUCAAGCUUUUGAAUAUUGAUCAUCCUGAUAAAUACUGAUAACAAUUAUUGUUGAAUUACCUACAUUGAAUUCAUUGGUUUAACGACUAUAAUAAUAUUCACAAAAAAAAAACUAUUAUUUUUAUUGUCAAUAAUAAUUUAACGAAAGCACCUAAUCACACAUCAAACACAAUAUGGUUUAAAAUCAACAAUAUGGAACCACCAGAAGAGGACUUGCGCAGAUGAAUUCAAACUUGUGUUAUAACAAUGAAUAAAUACUUUUUUUCAACACUAGGAUAGCUACCUAGCUUAGAAAAAAACCUGUUCUCGUCAUUGAAAAAAAUCUCAAACAUUUUUAAGUUUUUUUUAUUGAACAUAGCUGAAAUUUCGAAAAGACGAGUUUUAAAUGGUACCUACUUAGAUGAACGUCGAGAACUCAUUAAAAUUUAAAACAACUGGCCAGUGUAUUGCUUAGCGUAUUGUCGAUUUCAAACAAAAAAAAAAUCAAACAAAUCUUCAUGUGUAUCUAGUAUCUAGAAUCUUUACACUAAAUCAACGGAUUAAGACAACCGCAGCAAC